AGUGGACGCGAGCAUCUUUGUGGUCAAAUUAAUAAGUGCAGAUGGCGAAUGCCUUGGCACCAGAAACCGAUGAAGGACGUAUGAGGCUGCGAAAAGCCUCGGGGAGCUGCCAACAGAGCUGUGAUCCGAGGAUUUCCGAAUGAGGAAACUCAGCACGAGUAAUGUCGUGUUAUUUCUCCCAGAACACAUAUGGGAGAUAAAGGGAACGUGGGGAAGUGAAACAUCUCAGUACCCACAGGAAGAGAAAGCAAACGCGAUUCCGUUAGUAGUGGCGAGCGAAGGCGGAAUAGGCUAAACCGUUUAUGUGCCAAGCCGGCAGGCGUUGCAUAGACGGUGUUGAGGGACCAAUUCAGAUUAACUGCCGUUGAUCUAGCAAGUCAGAAAAUAACGAUGUAGGUGAACGACGUGGGAAAGUCGGGCGAAGAAGGUGAGACCCCUGUAACCGAAACAUCGUUGUCUUGCAAUUGGUAUCCCAAGUAAUACCGGACUCGUGAAAUCCGGUAUGAAUCUGGCGGGACCACCCGCUAAGCCUAAAUA
rnacentral:rRNA from 1 species